UGCUGGAAACUGCAGAACUUCAAUGUCUGCAGUGAAAAUGGAAAGAAAAGAAAACCAGUUGUCUGCCUUGGUGAUGAGAGCAGAAAGUCAAGAGCAGCAAUAUAGGCAGCUAACAAGCAUUUAAUGAUUCAGCUGGUAGACAGGACUACAGCUGGACAUUGGAGAGAAGCAGCUUGACUUCAGAAGGACAGCUUGAUGGCAUAUAACUUCGGAGAAGCAUCCUGCCGGAGACAGCUGGGCUUCAGAGGAAGAUUACCUACCCACUCUGUCCCCUUUUCAGCUCCCCU
rnacentral:lncRNA from 1 species